GUGCAGCAGUCGAGAAUCUUCCACAAUGGGGGAAACCCUGAUGGAGCGACGCCGCGUGCGGGAUGAAGGCCCUAUGGGUUGUAAACCGCUGUUCAGGUGGAAAGAACAUCCUCCGGCUGAAUAGGUCGGAGGCCUGACGUUACCACUGCAGGAAGUCCCGGCCAACUCCGUGCCAGCAGCCGCGGUAAUACGGGGGGACGAGCGUUGUCCGGAAUCAUUGGGCGUAAAGGGCGCGUAGGCGGCGAGGAAAGUCGAAUGUGAAAUCUUGCGGGCUCAACUGCAAAACUGCGUUCGAAAACUUCCUCGCUUGAGUAUGAGAGAGGUGUGCGGAAUUCCUGGUGUAGCGGUGGAAUGCGUAGAU
rnacentral:rRNA from 1 species